rnacentral:rRNA from 1 species
GACGUAGGGCGCGAGCGUUGUCCGGAUUUAUUGGGCGUAAAGAGCUCGUAGGCGGCUUGUCGCGUCGACUGUGAAAACCCGCGGCUCAACCGCGGGCUUGCAGUCGAUACGGGCAGGCUAGAGUUUGGGUAGGGGAGACUGGAAUUCCUGGUGUAGCGGUGAAAUGCGCAGAUAUCAGGAGGAACACCGGUGGCGAAGGCGGGUCUCUGGGCAACUACUGACGCUGAGGAGCGAAAGCGUGGGGAGCGAACAGG